CCAUCAUGUUCCUAGGCAGGCUCCAUAAGUUUAUAACACUAUGCAAUAAAGAAAUGUAAUCAAGUGAAACAUCAGGUAAGGACCAUGUCAGUGCAUUUCGCUGUGCUUAAAAGGCAUCGUCGUUACAUUCCCUGUAAACAGCAAAACUGAAAAGGCAGUUUUAAAAAGUACACAUUGUGCCUUUUUCCAUUACAUUUCACAAGGACACACCCACACUUAAAACACUGACCUGUUAACUCCUGUUUUUUGUCUCAGUGUCAGGAAUGUCUCAUGUUGCAUUAUAAAUACUAGUGUUUCCACUGUUUCUUUCUUCUCAACACUCAAGUAAAAUAUAUACAUUUCAAAUGAACAGAACCUGAACCAACCCACAUAACACUUAUGGAGGACACUCAUCCUAACCAUGGCAGCUGAAGGAGUCGUUGACAGGAAGUUCCAGGUCUUUAUAAAAUGCUUUAGAAUCAAAAGUUGUACUAAAAAUAGAUUUUGUUUUGUUCAUCAGCAUAAAAAAAA